ensembl:lncRNA
AUGUGUAUGUGUUAGCAGCGGUGAUGUGGACACAUCCCCAUAACACCAAGCAAACCUUGGGAUACCAGCUGGGUGUCCUACAAUUCAACCCAUUCUGACACUACCUACCCAGAGAUAGCAUCAGAUUCCACAGGUUGAGGGUUCGGUCCUGUAAGACUGACCCCCACCCCCAGAUGUCAGUCAUAAGCCCAGGCUGUUAACUGCGCUCUGACCAACCAACUACAGAUUGGAGGUUGACACAGACCCUUCCUUGAGUUUAAUUGAUUUGCUAGAGUGGCUCACAGAACUCAGGAAACCUGUUAUAUUACUGAACGUGAAAGCUAAGUCAGUCGUAUCUGACUCCUUGAAACCCCAUGGACUGUAGCCUGGCAGGCUCCUCCAUCCAUGGGAUUAUCCAGGCAAAAUACUGGAAUGGGUUGCCAUUUCCUUCUCCAGAGGAUCUUCCCAACCCAGGGAUCAAACUCGGGUCUCCUUCAUUGCAGACAGACUCUACCGUCUGAGCCUGUAAAAGGGUAUAAUUUAGGAGAAACCAGAUUGAAGAGAUGCAUGGGGUGAAGCAUGUGGGAAGGGGAGUGGAGCUUCCAUGCAAUCUUGAAGUCACCUAGUCUCCCCAAAUCUCCAUGUGUUCACCAAUCCAGAAGCUCUGCACGCCCUGUCUUUUGAGGUUUUUAUGGCGGCUCCAUUACAUAGGCAUGAUUGAUUACAUCAUUGGCCAUCGUUAUCUGUGGACAUCUUGGCACCUCUACAAACUAUAAUCUCCCUGAAGCCUGAAUGAGCCUGGAAGAAGGGGCCCCUAAACCUCACAAGAUGGAUCACAGCUCCAACUAACAAGUUAAUUUCAGCCUGGUGAGAUCCUGAGCAGAAUGCCCAGGUAAACCCUGUCCAGAAUCCAGACCCUAGACCCUCAGAAACUGUCAGUUAAUAAACAUUCUGCUCCAAGCCACAAAAUUUCUGGUAAUUCAUUUCUUGGCAAUAGAAAGCUAAUUCACACCCAGUAGUCAGUGUAAUCAAUGGGCUGAUAAGCAAGAGCUCGGAGGCAGAUGCCCAUUUGUCUUUGUCAACAAACAUAAUAAAGACCGUUUCACCAAAGCUGCGUGGUCAAGGCUGCAUAUGCAGUUAUCAAAGUUGAACAUGGAACAGCCUUGGGCGCACCCUGGGAGAUGAAGCCAGCAGAACAAGGGAAGCAGAGAUCAGUGCGUUCAAGUCCCAGAUUUCAUUCUCUCUUGCCCGCCUCAGAGUCUGGUCAUCUUAAGUUCUUUGAAGGCAUCCCCUGGAUUGGCACUCGUGCCAUCGCUCCUCCUCCCAGACUAGUAAACAGCAUCACUGGGAUUUACGCAGUCUAGCGCCGGAGUCUGUUCUCCUGACCAUUAAUCACAAAAAGAGCUUUAGGAUCUCCUUGCUCAUUGACUCACUGGAGAAGGCAAUGGCAACCGACUCCAGUACUCUUGCCUGGAAAAUCCCAUGGACGGAAGAGCCUGGUAGGCUGCAGUCCAUGGGGUCGCUAAGAGUCGGACACGACUGAGCGACUUCACUUCACUUUGCUCACUGACUAAAUAAUUAAUUUUGCCUUAUUUGUUAUAGUUUAGAGCAGCUGUGGCUAGGCCAAGGAGAUGAAUAUAACUUAAAAAGUACAGAUAUUUAGGUACUACC